GCCCAGACUCCUACGGGAGGCAGCAGUGAGGAAUAUUGGUCAAUGGGCGGAAGCCUGAACCAGCCAAGUCGCGUGAGGGAAGAAGGCCCUGCGGGUCGCAGACCUCUUUGGACGGGGAGCAAGGCCGCCGACGUGUCGGCGGAAGGAGAGUACCCGUAGAACAAGCAUCGGCUAACUCCGUGCCAGCAGCCGCGGUAAUACGGAGGAUGCGAGCGUUAUCCGGAUUUAUUGGGUUUAAAGGGUGCGCCGGCGGUACGGCAAGCCGGCGGUCAAAUCGCGGGGCUCAACCCCUGAACUGCAUUUGAAACUGUCGUUCUUGAGUACUGGAGAGGUUGACGGAAUUCCUAGUGUAGCGGUGAAAUGCGUAGAUAUUAGGAGGAACACCAGUGGCGAAGGCGGUCAACUGGACAGCAACUGACGCUGAGGCGCGAAAGCGUGGGGAGCAAACAGGAUUAG
rnacentral:rRNA from 1 species